CCUACGGGAGGCAGCAGUGGGGAAUAUUGCACAAUGGGCGAAAGCCUGAUGCAGCGACGCCGCGUGAGGGAUGACGGCCUUCGGGUUGUAAACCUCUUUCAGCAGGGAAGAAGCGAAAGUGACGGUACCUGCAGAAGAAGCGCCGGCUAACUACGUGCCAGCAGCCGCGGUAAUACGUAGGGCGCAAGCGUUGUCCGGAAUUAUUGGGCGUAAAGAGCUCGUAGGCGGCUUGUCACGUCGGUUGUGAAAGCCCGGGGCUUAACCCCGGGUCUGCAGCCGAUACGGGCAGGCUAGAGUGUGGUAGGGGAGAUCGGAAUUCCUGGUGUAGCGGUGAAAUGCGCAGAUAUCAGGAGGAACACCGGUGGCGAAGGCGGAUCUCUGGGCCAUUACUGACGCUGAGGAGCGAAAGCGUGGGGAGCGAACAGGAUUAGAUACCCUGGUAGUCCACGCCGUAAACGGUGGGAACUAGGUGUUGGCGACAUACACGUCGUCGGUGCGCNGCUACGCAUAGUUACCCGUCCGUCGGGAGGUACGGCCGCGAGACGUAAACGUACGAAAGAAGUAAGUACGGCGUUGAGACGUUGCGAAGGCGACGACGAGGGAGGAGG
rnacentral:rRNA from 1 species